rnacentral:rRNA from 1 species
CAGCAGCCGCGGUAAUACGAAGGGGGCUAGCGUUGUUCGGAAUUACUGGGCGUAAAGCGCACGUAGGCGGAUAUUUAAGUCAGGGGUGAAAUCCCGCAGCUCAACUGCGGAACUGCCUUUGAUACUGGGUAUCUUGAGUAUGGAAGAGGUUAGUGGAAUUGCGAGUGUAGAGGUGAAAUUCGUAGAUAUUCGCAGGAACACCAGUGGCGAAGGCGGCUAACUGGUCCAUAACUGACGCUGAGGUGCGAAAGCGUGGGGAGCAUACAGGAUUAGAUACCCCGGUAGUCCCUGUCUCUUAUAC